AUUAUAUGAGUGGUAAAUGUAAUCUUGGAGAUGCUCUAUGGAUUGGUUUCAGAGGUGAGGUGCAAAAACUUUAAAAAACCUUUUCUGGAAAAAUAAAUGAUACAAAUUUUGAUUGUAAAACAAAAAUCAGUCACCGAUAAUGAUAUGCUUAUUCCACUGUCAGACAAAUUUAAAUUUUAACACCACUGCUGGUACAAAGCUAGGAUGAAAAUAUGGAGACUUGAUGUUAGAUUGACAGUCAUUCAUACAAGGGAUGUCAAAUUAUGAAGUGAAUUCCAAUUCAACUUGGACAAUGAGAACAUAUAAAGCCAACAUCAAAUAAUUGUGACAAGUCUUGAUGGUUUUCAGGGACCACAAAGAGAAUCAUAAUGAAGAAGACUCACCAUCCUCAUGGACUCAUUCUUGCUUUGCUUCCGAAAGUAACAUUAACCUCAUUAAUGGUUGCAUGGCUGCCUCUUUGCUUGCUAAUCAGAUGUCUAAAUCUGCUUCUGUCUUUUCCACCAGAAAACCAUAUGGAAUCUCUGCUUCUCCAGGCACCAAUGUUAAAAGUUCCUCAAACAUCACAUGCCUUGCAUCUGGCUCUGGAAGAGGGAUGAUGAUCUGAUGGAACAUGGUAUGAAAACCAGUUUUGUGCACAAACAAGCAAGCUCUUUCAAACAACCCCAUGACAUGGGUCUCAGUCUCACCAUAUGGAUCAGUAAAUUGCCCAGGCUAAAUAUUCUUCUAACAUUUCUCAAUAUUUCUUAGGGCAAACAGAUAUUGUUAAAAGAAAAUUCUAGAAUUGCUUAGAUGAUAACCCAACUACUCCAUGGAUGAGAUAAAAGGUGGAUAUCUAGUUUCUAACGGUGUCUAACAUGUAGAAAAAGUAAUUUUUCACCAGAAAAAUUCUUCUUCAAUACUAAGGUAUUCUUUGUUUCUCUUUAUGUUCCUUUCAUUUUGAAAUCAACCUUAAAAAAUGAAUUCAAA
rnacentral:lncRNA from 1 species